rnacentral:misc_RNA from 1 species
UCACGUGAUCGCUCCCCUAGACCUUCCAUUCCGUCUCUAGAUUUACAGGGUUUCAAGUGUUGGAACGGAAAUUCAAUCAAGCACAACGAAUCGAACGAAAGUAUAGAGGAGAAAGCAUGUGAUAAAUCAAUAGAGUGACAAGGGAAACAAAAAACAUUUAUCGGUGUUGAAGAAGGCCUUUGGAUGGGGUCAGGAUUGGUCAUUCCAAUACACAAAUGGCUAAAAGGAUAAUUCUUGCUACGGAGAGAGGCAAACUCCCUAACAAGCCGAGAGAAUUUGCUUGAUAAAACGCCAAUCUUUCCAAUAAUUGGUCGACGGAUAUGAGGAUUGGAGGAUCCGAAAUGUAUCCUAUGCUUGUUUGACAUGACAGGCGCUGUCAAAUUAUAUUACAGGAAACUUUUCCAUUUCCCCGGAACUAGUUUCGGGAAUCCUGAUGGAGGAUUUCGUUUCUCCGGCACUGUUGUUUAUUAUCGACGAAACGUGAUUUUAUUCGUUAUAUGCAAUUUUUUUGUUCGUUCUGAAAUGCAUCCGUUUCUUGUUUGUUUGUUUGUCUGAUGAGUUUUAGAAUUUAAUUGUUUGUGAUACUUUUACAGUGUGAAUAAAUUGCAAUUUGGAAGUUUUC